rnacentral:rRNA from 1 species
AUUGAACGCUGGCGGCAGGCCUAACACAUGCAAGUCGAACGAGUGGCGGACGGGUGAGUAAUGUCUGGGAAACUGCCUGAUGGAGGGGGAUAACUACUGGAAACGGUAGCUAAUACAGCAUACCAUCAGAAGUGCCCAGAUGGGAUUAUCUAGUUGGUGGGGUAACGGCUCACCAAGGCGACGAUCACUCGCUGGUCUGAGAGGGUGACCAUCCACACUGGAACGGAGACACGGGCCUGACUCCUACGGGAGGCAGCAGUGGGGAAGAUUGCACAAUGGGCGCAGGCCUGAUGCAGCCAGGCCGCGUGUAGGAAGAAGGCCUUCGGGUUGUAAAGUACGUUCAGCGGGGAGGCGUUACCCGCAGAAGAAGCACCGGCUAACUCCGUGCCAGCAGCCGCGGUAAUAC